rnacentral:rRNA from 1 species
AAACUUGAGAGUUUGAUCAUGGCUCAGAACGUACGCUGGCGGCACGCCUAACACAUGCAAGUCGAACGAAGUAGCAAUACUUAGUGGCAGACGGGUGAGUAACAUGUAGGUAUCUGCCCUAUGGCCUGGAAUAACACGAGGAAACUUGUGCUAAUACCGGAUAAGUCUUUACGGAGAAAGCUUUAUGCACCAUUGGAUGAGCCUGCACUUGAUUAGUUUGUUGGUGGGGUAAUGGCCUACCAAGACUGUGAUCAAUAGCUGAUUUGAGAGGAUGAUCAGCCACAUUGGGACUGAGACACGGCCCAAACUCCUACGGGAGGCAGCAGUGGGGAAUCUUGCACAAUGGAGGAAACUCUGAUGCAGCGAUGCCGCGUGAGUGAAGAAGGCCUUUGGGUUGUAAAGCUCUUUCGUCGGGGAAGAAAAUGACUGUACCCGAAUAAGAAGGUCCGGCUAACUUCGUGCCAGCAGCCGCGGUAAUACGAAGGGACCUAGCGUAGUUCGGAAUUACUGGGCUUAAAGAGUUCGUAGGUGGUUGAAAAAGUUGGUGGUGAAAUCCCAGAGCUUAACUCUGGAACUGCCAUCAAAACUUUUCAGCUAGAGUAUGAUAGAGGAAAGCAGAAUUUCUAGUGUAGAGGUGAAAUUCGUAGAUAUUAGAAAGAAUACCAAUUGCGAAGGCAGCUUUCUGGAUCAUUACUGACACUGAGGAACGAAAGCAUGGGUAGCGAAGAGGAUUAGAUACCCUCGUAGUCCAUGCCGUAAACGAUGUGUGUUAGACGUUGGAAAUUUAUUUUCAGUGUCGCAGCGAAAGCGAUAAACACACCGCCUGGGGAGUACGACCGCAAGGUUAAAACUCAAAUGAAUUGACGGGGACCCGCACAAGUAGUGGAGCAUGUGGUUUAAUUCGAAGAUACGCGCAGAACCUUACCAACACUUGACAUGUUCGUCGCAACUCUAAGAGAUUAGAGUUUUCGGUUCGGCCGGACGAAACACAGGUGCUGCAUGGCUGUCGUCAGCUCGUGUCGUGAGAUGUUGGGUUAAGUCCCGCAACGAGCGCAACCCUCACUUUUAGUUGCCAUCAUUAAGUUGGGCACUCUGAAAGAACUGCCAGUGAUAAGCUGGAGGAAGGUGGGGAUGACGUCAAGUCCUCAUGGCCCUUACGUGUUGGGCUACACACGUGCUACAAUGGUAUCUACAACAGGAAGCAAGACUGCGAAGUUAAGCAAAUCCCUAAAAGAUACCUCAGUUCGGAUUGCACUCUGCAACUCGAGUGCAUGAAGCUGGAAUUACUAGUAAUCGUGGAUCAGCGUGCCACGGUGAAUGCGUUCCCGGGUCUUGUACACACCGCCCGUCACACCAUGGGAGUUGGUUCUACCUUAAGGCAAGGUUUCAAACCCUUGACCACGGUAUAGUCAGCGACUGGGGUGAAGUCGUAACAAGGUAGCCGUAGGGGAACCUGCGGCUGGAUUACCUCCUUU